UUACAGGCAGUGGGGAUGUGACAUCAUCAGUCACAUGAUUUCAAGAUGGAGGAACACAGGCUCUAAAACUGUAAAGUAGUCCUAUUUUUAAAAGAUGCACAGCUGAUAAAGGCCUGCGGAGGGCGCACCGCACACAAGUACGUCUGAGAUUAA
rnacentral:lncRNA from 1 species